CGAGCUGAGGAAAGACUGACAUUGCUGGACAAACAGAAGGAAGACCACCUCUUUACGCUGCUUGGUUCCAGAGGACUCAAAGACAAGAUGAAGGCUCUGAUUUUGUUUGCAAUAAUUUUGAUCUUUACUGCUUGCUUCACGUCUGUUGAUGCCCUUAAGAAAAGAAAACACAAAUCUAACCAUAGUUCUGAAAAGAAUUUCAAACCAUUUAAACAAAGAAGGCCUGUAAAGGCAAACUACAAACAUUUUACAAAAUUUGAACUGGUUCCUGGUGUUCCCUUUGGUCUCCAUCAUUUCUUCCCCCAUCAAAGCCUUCAUCACCCCCACUGCCCACAUCGUCCAUCAUCCAGACCCACACAACGACCUGAGAAUGAUGUAAACCCUAGUUCUCAAGCACUACUAGCCACUUAUGCUCCUACAACCGUUGCGGCCACCACAGCCACUUCCAUUGCCUCUAUCAGCAAAACUACAGGUGCCACUUCCAACACCACAGCUCCCAGCAGCCUCCAAUCUGAGGUUGUCACCAACACUGCAACAACUGAGUCUAACUCAACUGAGGUGGCUGACGCCACCACUGCCAAUUCUACAACUGUCUGAGACGACAAUAACACCAAAUCACGAGAUAAUAAAAGCAAACCAAGGUAAAUAUUUUCCA
rnacentral:lncRNA from 13 species